GUAAAUACCUAAAAAAUACAACCUAAAAUAGAAAAAAGUAGAACGCAGUAAUGUAAUAUUGCACUCACUAGAGUUUAAUUGAUUGCAGGCUCAUAACAGAAUCUUUUAAGGGAUUCUCUAGUCUAGAGUGCCCACAUCGCUGAAGGAGUUAAAACCCUUUCAGCCACUUCCCUAAAUCCAGCGCUGAUGUCCCUCAGUGCUGGGUCAGUCUGCCAGCAAUGGCCACGCUCGCAUUAGGAUUUUCCGUGACGCUGGAUAGCGUGAGG